AGCAGCCGCGGUAAUUCCAGCUCCAAUAGCGUAUAUUAAAGUUGUUGCAGUUAAAAAGCUCGUAGUUGAAUUUUAGGCCUGGCCGGGCGGUCCGUCUUUGGCGAGUACUGUUCUGUGUCGGGUCUUACCUUCUGGUAAACCGGCAUUUCCUUUAUCGUGUAUGCCGUGGGAACCAGGACCAUUACCUUGAAAAAUUAGAGUGUUUAAAGCGGGCUUUUGCUUGAAUAGAUUAGCAUGGAAUAAUAAAAUAGGACGUUGGUUCUAUUUUGUUGGUCUAGGACCACCGUAAUGAUUAAUAGGGAUAGUUGGGGGCAUUAGUAUUCAAUUGUCAGAGGUGAAAUUCUUGGAUUUAUUGAAGACUAACUAUUGCGAAAGCAUUUGCCAAGGAUGUUUUCAUUAAUCAAGAACGAAAGUUAGGGGAUCGAAGACGAUCAGAUACCGUCGUAGUCUUAACCAUAAACUAUGCCGACUAGGAAUCGGGCGACGUUAUUUUAAUGACUCGCUCGGCGCCUUAUGGG
rnacentral:rRNA from 1 species